rnacentral:rRNA from 1 species
UACGUAGGGUGCGAGCGUUGUCCGGAAUUACUGGGCGUAAAGGGCUUGUAGGUGGUUUGUCGCGUUGUUCGUGAAAACUCACAGCUUAACUGUGGGCGUGCGGGCGAUACGGGCAGACUGGAGUACUGCAGGGGAGACUGGAAUUCCUGGUGUAGCGGUGGAAUGCGCAGAUAUCAGGAGGAACACCGGUGGCGAAGGCGGGUCUCUGGGCAGUAACUGACGCUGAGGAGCGAAAGCGUGGGGAGCGAACAGG